GUACAGGGACAUGAUUAAUCAAGCAAUAACAUUUCAAACAUCCAACUUUAUGUUUUAAAACAUCAAACAUCAACUUUUAAAACAUGGCAGACUGUUGGUAACAUGGUACAGUACACUUCAACUGUACAUAAAUCACACGUUAACAGGGAAAACAUGGAAAAUUUCAAAACAAUUUUAACACUUUUUGGAAGAUGAGGAGGACGAGGGCAAUUGGGCAGCACUAACACAAGCAGGUUCUUCUUCAUGACUGAAGGCUAGGCUGUUUUUGUAGG